rnacentral:lncRNA from 1 species
GUGUAUAAAAUGUGGGUAGUUUAGGAGGUAAUGAGAAGGAAAGAGGAAACAAUAAGGAGACUUUGUUUCACAUCUUCCUCCCCAUGGGGAGAAAAUCUCAUUUAUCACAUUUGAAUCAAGAUGCACGGUAAAAAUAGAAAAAUGACAAGAUAAAGUAUAAGAAAGUGAGAUUUGUAAUCCAACGUCCUGCUUACUCAGAGCUGAUACCAAGAAAUCCCAAGUGCUACCUCCAACUCAAAAUAUUGAAAAGAAGAUAUGAAACAGCAGGCUUGGUUUUAAAAUUGUGUGUUAUGAUCUCUCACG